rnacentral:rRNA from 1 species
GAUGAACGCUGGCGGAGUGCCUAAUACAUGCAAGUCGAGCGAACAGACGAUGAGCAUGUUCCUCUGACGUUAGCUGCGGACGUGUGAGUAACGCGUGGGUAACCUACCUAUAAGACUGGGAUAACUUCGGGAAACCGGAGCUAAUACCGGAUAAUAUUUUGAACCGCAUGGUUCAAUAGGGAAAGACGGGUUUUCUGUCACUUAUAGAUGGAUACUCGCCGCAUUAGCUAGUUGGUAAGGUAACGGCUUACCAAGGCAACGAUCCGUAGACGAGAUGAGAGGGUCGUCGGCCACACUGCAACUGAGACACGGUCCAGACUCCUACGCUAGGCAACGGUAGAGAAUCUUCCGCGAUGCACGAAAGCAUAACGGAGCACAGCCGCGUAAGUGAUGAUGGUCUUCGGCUCGUAGAACUAUGUUAUUUGGGAAGAAGAAAAGUGUAAGUAACUAUGCACGUCUUGACGGUACCUAAUCAGAAAGCCACGGCUAACUACGUG